GUUUGGGGUUGGGGUUGGUGUUAGGGUUAGGGUUAGCAAAUUUCUUCACUUCUCGACCUUUGUUUUUAACUGAGCGGGAAUUAGGAGAGGAGCCUGGUCCUCUCCACACAGCCCAGCUGGUACACCGCCCAUGUGCCUGUGGAGAACAGCAUUCCUGUAGGGCCGACAGGUGUGGACCAAGUAGCUGUGAAAUUUCUUCUGAAGAAAACGCACAAGGAGGACUGGAAUGAGCUCAGUGGAGGAGGGGCACUACCCCAGGGGACAUCCACAUACAUGGACUUGUGAACCCCGAUUAUCUGAGAUGAUCUCAGUCAGUUUAGAAAGUUUAUUUGCCAAGGUUGAGGACGUGCACCCGUGACAGGCUCAGGAGAUCCUGACGACAAGUGCCUAAGGUGGUCAGGGCACAGCUUGGUUUUAGGGAGACAUGAGACAUCAGUCAGUACAUGUCAGAAGUACCUUGCUUCCAUCCAGAAAGGUGGGGACAACUGGAAGCAGGGAGGGGGCUUCCAAGGUCACAGGUAGGUGAGAGACAAAUGUUGCGUUGUUUUGAGUUUCUGGUUAGUCUCUCCAAAGGAGGCGAUCGGAUGUGCACCUAUCUUAGUGAGGAGAUAGGUGAUUUGGAAUAGAAUGAGAGGCAGGUUUGCCUUGAGCCGUUCCCAGCUUGACUUUUCCCUUUAGCUUAGUAAUCUUGGGGCCCCAAGAUUUUCUUUUCACAGAGCCUAUGACUAGAUUUGCAUGUUUAGAUCCUGCGAGGAGGCGGCUACACACAUGCAGAAGUCACACUGGUGGCCUGGACUCCAAAGAGAGAGAAGUGCAUUUGAGAGACAUUUAGGAGGUAGGAUUGCCAGGGCCUUGGUGAUAGCUUGGAUGUGGAGGGCGGAGCAGGAGGGGUGUCAAGCAGAUAUUGCUCUUAGAUUACCACCUGGGAUAUUAGGGAGAGUGAGUGGGCUGUUUUUUCUUUGUUAGGCAGAACUUGGUUUUGUGGUGCAGUAGGGUGCCUCAAACCAAAAGCCUGACUUCCUCCUACAGGCCAGACCCCACAUGGCCGUUCCUGUGACUGCCAGGCCACUUUGAGGCUGAGAGAGGUGAUUUUGUCUGGCCUCUGCCCUGCACGUGUUUACGAAUGACUUCUCUGUGUUGGCAGAUUUGGGGGUCCACCAGAUAGGAUCCUGUGAAGACACCUCAAAGGUCUUUAGUCCAAUUUAUAAAACAUCAUUUUGUUCAUUAUAUCAUUUCCACAAUCAAAGAUGAAUAAAAUAUACAGAGGUUUAUUUAGUGAAUAAGGUUGAUGGUGCACCUGUGCUAGGCAGUGUUUUAGUUCGUUGAGACACCAAGGAGUUGAGACAAUCCUUUACCUUGGAGUUUUGUGUCUGUAAGUCCUGCUGUUGAGAGCUGUGUGUGUUAAAAUGUCUGAUUCAGGCAGGUGAGAUCUGGGCCGUCUGUAAGGUUAGGUGAGAGGAGGUUGGUGUCCAGCAAGUAUCCAGUGCCCCAUCAACAUCCCAGUUCUUGUCCACCAAUCUUCCAGUUCUAGGACUGAUGCGGAGGCCCUCAGAGCGACUUCAGAGGAGAAGUAGUGUGCUCUGUGGCUGUCUGUUUUGGGGUGUAAAUUGUAAAUCCUCUGCAAACAAGAAGUUGGAAACAAGUAGCGUUUCAGCUUGAGUUUCUUGUAAAUGGCUUGCAGUCGUAUGAACCCAGAGCAUGUAUACCACAGGGCAACACGAGGGUCCCUCUAUCACCAUUUCUCCCAGUGGCCUAGGUGGGGAUUUAAACAGAAUAAUGUGUGCAGCCUCAUUGUGUGAAAGUCCAGUACUUUGUGCUUGGAGUGUCAUCAGGGAAGGGCCCCUGACUUUGAAGGCUGCUGCGUCUCGCUCCGUGAUAGGAGGCACAAUGUGGCCUUGGUCUUACGAAGACCUUGGGUGCCACAGCUCACUUCAUCCCUGAUCAGCCUGAUGCAGGUGCUGGGCGCUGGUUCUGGAGGUGAGAAUACACCCUGGGCUUCCACUGCAUGGCUGCCCUGUGAGCAUUCAGGUGCUUGUUUGGGGACUGAUACGGAGUCCUGUGCCAGAUGCAGUGGUGCACACCUGGGAACCAAGCGUCCCUGCUUCUACUAGAGAAGCUGGACAGAUGUAAAAGGUGCAAGCGGAGCCGUGCAGUCCUGACUUCUCAGUGGAGCUAGAGGAGAAUUACGUUAAUGUGUUUGCACUCCUUGCUCAAUUUUUAAAUAUAAAUAUAUUUAAGCAAUGCUUUUUAAUGAGAAUAAAAUAGUUUAACAAUGUU